AUAUUUACAGAUUGUUAUAUUCCUAAAUCCAUAUUUAUGCAAUUCUUAUAUUCCUAAAUCCUCACACUAGACAUCCCACGACAUUGCAUUAAUAACUAGACAUCCCUAGACAUCCAAUUAAUAACUAGACAUCCCUAGACAUCCCAUUAGUAACUAGACAUUCCUCUGAAGAACUUUACGUGUCUAAGAUCCAUGACCUUCAUGCAACCGUAUAUUAUCUCUAGAUAAUCCCAAUUAUCCAAAUGUCCCUAGGAAGAGUCACACGACGUCAGUUGUAGUAAAUAUUGUUUCGAAAAAAUAAUAUCGCUGCACGUUCAAGAUCUGCACAUAUUAAAAACAGUGUUUAUUACUUUCACGAUUAUAUCUGACAAGAGUGAGGUCAUGCAGUUGAAUGUAUACAUUUGUUACACAAUAUGGUAAUCAUUGAUAUGCUUCUAUGUGACAGAACUCGAAUGAAUCGAGUUUUAUUGUGGGAAAAAAAAUAUGAACUGAUAAGAAUAUAUCAUUGAUAAGAUUGUAAUUAUGCAGGUAAUAAAAGUUAUACAUUUUUCAUGAACAAUUUAUAUGUUCAUUAAAUGAAAUAAAGAGUCGUGUAUACUAUUGUGAAUAUUAUUUUUUAUAAUGAUAGCUUUAUUUGUAAAAUGUUCUUUUUGGUACACGUGAUCGAUGCCUGGAGAGUUCCAAAUAAAGACGUUGAUAUUAAGUUUGUUUUUAUUUUAUUAAGUUUAAUCGAUAAUUUAAUUUUGUAUGGAAUUAUUCAUUUAAAAUUUCGGAGUUAAAAUAAUUUUUUAAAUGAACGGUGAUUUAUAAUAUUUCGUAGAUUUAAUAACAAUUCGUUAAUUAAGAAUGUUAAUAAAAACUUAGUUUACAUAAAAUAAAGAUAACGCAACGGAUCUUCGGGUUAAAGGUAGAGCAAGUUGUAGCCAUGUUAUUGAUUAAUGCAAAUUGAAAAUUUAUCAACAUCGGUACACCUCGUGCGUGACCAAUAAUAUGCACGUAUUUCAUACUGAUUUUGUGUCGAAUGUUAUAAACUACUUAUUAUAAAUAUUAAAAAAUUGCAUAGCAAUAAAAAAUUUAUGAAAAUCAUA